rnacentral:tRNA from 1 species
GCCGAGAUGGUGGAAUUGGUAGACACGCAGCGUUCAGGUCGCUGUGGGCGUAAGCUCAUGGGAGUUCGAGUCUCCCUCUCGGCA